GUGCAUCUGGAAUCCAAAUCCAUCGUAGACAAUAUAUAACAUGCUUCUCAUCUCUAACCUAAAAUUUGCCUACCGGGCACAGACGGUCUUGAAUCUAGAUAUGAUAUCAAAAUAGUUAAGACAAUAAAUUUGAGGGAUUAGACAGAAUCUCAAUUCCAAACACCAUAUAAAAGACGUCCACAAAAAAUGAAUCUCAAUUGGUCAUUUUAUCGAGCAUCUAUUGAGCAAGUCUCAGAGGCGACCCAGAAUCAAUUUCGCACGUCAAAACUCCUCGCUCCAUAUUGGCAUAAUUAUCACAACAAAUGGGUACCUAGAAAUAAAGAAUUGCUACUCCUGCG
rnacentral:misc_RNA from 1 species